rnacentral:lncRNA from 1 species
AUGAACAACUUUAAUUCAGAGUUUAGAACCUUUCAGAAGACCCCCAGGCUUCCAGAUUUGCAGAUCACCAAGAUAAUGAGUGGCUGCACCAGCUUGCAUUCCCAUGAAGCACUUCCUUUCACAGGCUUCAUUCUAACCUAUCGAUUUUUAUCGUCAAUGAAAUGUAAGUGCCAUCCGACACCGUAUUCCACCGGAGCUGAUCAGUUGUCUGACACAUCGAGGGACAUGUGAGAUCAAUGGCUCCAGAGUUAUAGAAGAGAAUCAAACUGUAACAUCCCACCUCCCCUAAAUUGCUAA